GCAGAGGUGGCUCAGUGGUAGAAUUCUCACCUUCUGUGUGGGAGACCUGGGUUGUAUUCCUGGCCAGUGCA
rnacentral:tRNA from 1 species